rnacentral:rRNA from 1 species
AGGACGAACGCUGGCGGCGUGCUUAACACAUGCAAGUCGAGCGGUAAGGCCUCUUCGGGGGUACACGAGCGGCGAACGGGUGAGUAACACGUGAGCAAUCUGCCCUUCACUUCGGGAUAAGCCUCGGAAACGGGGUCUAAUACCGGAUAUGACCGUGCCAUGCAUGUGGUGUGGUGGAAAGUUCUGGCGGUGGAGGAUGAGCUCGCGGCCUAUCAGCUUGUUGGUGGGGUAAUGGCCUACCAUGGCUUCGACGGGUAGCCGGCCUGAGAGGGUGACCGGCCACGACUGGGACUGAGACACGGCCCAGACUCCGUACGGGAGGCAGCAGGUGGGGAAUAGUUGGACAAGUGGGACGAAAGCCUAGAUCCAGCCGAACGCCGGCGUGGAGGAUCGGACGGCCGUUUACGGGUUCGUUAAACCCUCUUUUACCGAGGCCGACCGGACG